CCUACGGGUGGCAGCAGUAGGGAAUAUUGCUCAAUGGGGGAAACCCUGAAGCAGCAACGCCGCGUGGAGGAUGAAGGUUUUAGGAUUGUAAACUCCUUUUGUUAGAGAAGAUUAUGACGGUAUCUAACGAAUAAGCACCGGCAAACUCCGUGCCAGCAGCCGCGGUAAUCCGGAGGGUGCAAGCGUUACUCGGAAUCACUGGGCGUAAAGAGUGCGUAGGCGGGGUAAUAAGUCAGAGGUGAAAUCGGGUAGCUCAACCACGGAACGGCGUUGAAAACUGUGUCUCUGAGGUGUGGAGAAGUAGGUGGAAUGCGUGGUGUAGAGGUAAAAUGCGUAGAUAUCACGAAGAACACAGAUUGCGAAGGCAGCAUACCGGCGCCCAACUGACGCUGAAGCACGAAAGCGUGGGGAUCGAACAGGAUUAGAUACCCUUGUAGUC
rnacentral:rRNA from 1 species